rnacentral:rRNA from 1 species
UACGGAGGGUGCAAGCGUUAUCCGGAUUCACUGGGUUUAAAGGGUGCGUAGGUGGGUCUGUAAGUCAGUGGUGAAAUCUCCGGGCUUAACCCGGAAACUGCCAUUGAUGACUAUAGGUCUUGAAUUUUCUGGAGGUUAGCGGAAUAUGUCAUGUAGCGGUAGAAAUGACUUAGAUAUGACAUAGAACACCAAUUGCGAAAGGCAGCUAACUAACAGGGAUAUUGACACUGAGGCACGAAA